rnacentral:rRNA from 1 species
GAAGUGUGGACGCCAGUCUGCAUGGAGCCGGCCUUGAAAUACCACCCUUUAAUGUUUGAUGUUCUAACGUUGACCCGUGAUCCGGGUUGCGGACAGUGUCUGGUGGGUAGUUUGACUGGGGCGGUCUCCUCCUAAAGAGUAACGGAGGAGCACGAAGGUUGGCUAAUCCUGGUCGGACAUCAGGAGGUUAGUGCAAUGGCAUAAGCCAGCUUGACUGCGAGCGUGACGGCGCGAGCAGGUGCGAAAGCAGGUCAUAGUGAUCCGGUGGUUCUGAAUGGAAGGGCCAUCGCUCAACGGAUAAAAGGUACUCCGGGGAUAACAGGCUGAUACCGCCCAAGAGUUCAUAUCGACGGCGGUGUUUGGCACCUCGAUGUCGGCUCAUCACAUCCUGGGGCUGAAGUAGGUCCCAAGGGUAUGGCUGUUCGCCAUUUAAAGUGGUACGCGAGCUGGGUUUAGAACGUCGUGAGACAGUUCGGUCCCUAUCUGCCGUGGGCGCUGGAGAACUGAGGGGGGCUGCUCCUAGUACGAGAGGACCGGAGUGGACGCAUCACUGGUGUUCGGGUUGUCAUGCCAAUGGCACUGCCCGGUAGCUAAAUGCGGAAGAGAUAAGUGCUGAAAGCAUCUAAGCACGAAACUUGCCCCGAGAUGAGUUCUCCCUGACUCCUUGAGAGUCCUGAAGGAACGUUGAAGACGACGACGUUGAUAGGCCGGGUGUGUAAGCGCAGCGAUGCGUUGAGCUAACCGGUACUAAUGAACCGUGAGG